UGCAAGUCGAGCGGGGAAGAGUAGCUUGCUACCUGACCUAGCGGCGGACGGGUGAGUAAUGCUUAGGAAUCUGCCUAUUAGUGGGGGACAACAUCUCGAAAGGGAUGCUAAUACCGCAUACGUCCUACGGGAGAAAGCAGGGGACCUUCGGGCCUUGCGCUAAUAGAUGAGCCUAAGUCGGAUUAGCUAGUUGGUGGGGUAAAGGCCUACCAAGGCGACGAUCUGUAGCGGGUCUGAGAGGAUGAUCCGCCACACUGGGACUGAGACACGGCCCAGACUCCUACGGGAGGCAGCAGUGGGGAAUAUUGGACAAUGGGGGGAACCCUGAUCCAGCCAUGCCGCGUGUGUGAAGAAGGCCUUUUGGUUGUAAAGCACUUUAAGCGAGGAGGAGGCUACCGAGAUUAAUACUCUUGGAUAGUGGACGUUACUCGCAGAAUAAGCACCGGCUAACUCUGUGCCAGCAGCCGCGGUAAUACAGAGGGUGCAAGCGUUAAUCGGAUUUACUGGGCGUAAAGCGCGCGUAGGUGGCCAAUUAAGUCAAAUGUGAAAUCCCCGAGCUUAACUUGGGAAUUGCAUUCGAUACUGGUUGGCUAGAGUAUGGGAGAGGAUGGUAGAAUUCCAGGUGUAGCGGUGAAAUGCGUAGAGAUCUGGAGGAAUACCGAUGGCGAAGGCAGCCAUCUGGCCUAAUACUGACACUGAGGUGCGAAAGCAUGGGGAGCAAACAGGAUUAGAUACCCUGGUAGUCCAUGCCGUAAACGAUGUCUACUAGCCGUUGGGGCCUUUGAGGCUUUAGUGGCGCAGCUAACGCGAUAAGUAGACCGCCUGGGGAGUACGGUCACAAGACUAAAACUCAAAUGAAUUGACCGGG
rnacentral:rRNA from 1 species